GAGGGCUUCACUAGCCAGUUCAUUUUCCAGCAAGCACUCGCUGUGCAACAUCUAACUUUCUGAGCUCUUCAACCAAGAGUGAGUUUAUGGCUGCCUAUUGCUGCUCCACCAAGGGAACAUCCAAAAUUGGUCUGUGGUUUAAAGAAGUUAUAAGGAUUCAUCUUGCUGUGUUGGAGUUUGAAUUUGUUCCUGAACAGGGAAUUGGGGCAGGCAGCAGAUGUUGUUGGUUGCUGAUGAGGAAGGAAACUCCAGAAUUUCUUGGGACAGCAUGUCUUCCAACUUGAAGAAAGGCUUGUUUAUCUGGAGAGAGCUGUGAUGCUUCAGCUGGUGGAUGAAUGUGUCUUCAAGCAGCAGUUGAUGUUGUCCAUGAUGUAAAUGUUUAAAUAAAACCAUUUGACUAGUUUGUUUUAUGUUAAA